AUCCUCUUGCUUCAAUGUACUUUGCAUUGCCCACAAAGAUAAUUCCAUUUUCAUUUAGAACAUAUUCCUGUCUCUCAUUUUCAUUAGCCAUGUAGACAGCAUCACCUGAAAACAAAUUUGGACAUGCUUUUACACUUAAAGCUGGGAACACUAGUAAUCUUGGAAAAAACAAACAAACAAACAACUUUAUCUUGACCUAACAUGAGGAAGUAGCUUUACUAUUUGAAAAACAGUAUCUUAUUGCUAUAACUCCUUAGACGUGUACAUUUCAGUGAAAAUACCUAGUUACUGAUGGGGGAAGGGAGGGGUCAGAGGGAGGGAAGGAAAUGCAUGGUAUAUUACUGUGACCCUUUCCCCCAAUUUUUAGCAUAGCCUUUUUAUAUUAUAAAAGUGUUCCUUGUCUUUAUGUUGUAGUUUUGUGGAGAAGAUAGAGAAAUGUCCAAGUUAACUGCUCCAAUAAAGCAGUGAGCUACAAGCAGAAGACACAUUUGAAAACAAUCAUACAGAUGAUAGUGAUAUUUUACUCUAUUUUCUAGUGAUGUUAACAUUGUUUUAAGAGUCCAAAGCACUAUCAGAAAUGUUAUUAGGAUAUCCUGCUGAACCAUUCAAUUUGUUUUCAUUGUUGUUCAUUGGUUGCCCUAGUCUAUGACACAGUAUGUAGCUGCUAUGAAAGCAGUCUCUUUAGGUUAGACUCCUCUCUUUAGGUUAGCACUAUCUAUUUAGUGCUAUAUAAAAUCUCCUAAUUUAAAAAAAAAAAUCAUAAAUAAGUUUUCUAUUUUACUGAGUCAAUUUCUUUGCCUUCUUAUAAGGAACUCCCUUCCCUCCCUGCAAGUAAAAAUAACGUGCAAUUUAUUUCACAGAAUGAUUUAAAUUGGGGAAGGGACCUCUGGAUGUCAUCUGGUUCAACCCCCCCGUUCAAGCAGGGAUACCUAGAACAGGUUGUCAAGAUGGAUUCUAAAAAUUUCCAAAGAAGGAGUCUCUAACACCUCUGGGCAACCUAUACCGGUGCUCCAUCUCUCGCACAGCACAGAAGUGCUUCCUGCUGUUUAGAUGGUAUUUAUAGGCAUUGAUGAGAUCUCCCCUGAGCCUUCUCUUCUCCAGGCUGAACGAUGCCAGCUCUCUCAGCCUCUCCUCGCAGGAGAGGUGCUCCACUGAUAAUCUUGGUGGCCCUACAUUGGAUUAUCUGCAGUAUGUCCACAUUGCUCUUGUACUGGGGGCCCAUCACUGGAUGCAGCACUCCAGGUGUGGCCUCACCAAAGCUGAGCAGAGGGCGAAGAAUCGCCUCUCUUGACCUGUUGACAAUACUUUGCCUAAUGCAGCCAAAAAUACCUUUAGCCUCCUUAGCAGCAUGGGCACAUUGCUGCGCAUGUCCAACUUGGUGUCCAUCAGGACCCCCAGGUCUUUUUCUGCUGCUUUCCAACUGGGUGACCCCCAGCGUGCCCUGGUGCCUGGAGUUCCUCCCCAGGUGCAGGACUCUGUGCUUCUCCUUGUUGAACUCCAUGAGGUUUUUGUCAGCCUGCCUCUACAGUCUGUCAGGAUCCUUCUGGACAGCAGCAUGACUAUCUGGUGAGUCAGCCACUCCUACCAGUUUUGUGCUCUCUGCAAGUUUACUGAGGGUGUCUUCUACCCCAUCAUUCAGAUCAUUAAUGAAGUUGUUUAAAAAAAAGAUCGGGCCUACUAUUGACACCUGGGGUACUCCACUUGUUAGUGGCCUCUAACUACACUUUGCACCACUGACUACUACCUUCUGGAUCAGGCAGUUCAGCCAGUUUUCAAUCUACCUCACUGUCUGUUCAUCCAUCCCAUACUUCACAUACUUCAACUGCUUCUCUAUGAGGAUCUUAUAGGUGAUAGUCUAAAGAUAGUCUAAAAGACCUUACUGAAGUUCAGGAAGAUGACAUUCACUACUUCCCCCCCCACCUCACCCCCCAUCCAUCAGACUAGUGAUUUCAUUACAGAAGCUUAUUGGUUUGGUCAUGACUUCCCCUUAGUGAAUCCAUGCUGACUACUCCUGAUGAUGAUCUUCUCCUUCAUGUACCUGGAAAUGGUUUCCAUGAUUAGCUGUUCACUUCUUAUUCUAGUAGUUGACUGUACAUUCCUUCAAUAGCAUCAGGAUAUAAUGCAUUAUCAUCAAAGGCUGGCUUGCACGUAUCUUAAAGAAGUUGUUUGCUUUUACUAAAGUCUCAAAAGGACAUUUAACGCUGAAACAUCACUUUUGUUUUAUCUACAGGUCUGAAACAAAUACUUGAAUUGAAUUAUUAAGCUUAUAGGCUUAUUACCAUUGUAGGAAGAUCAGUGUUUUCUGUGUCCAAAUUCUGUGCUUACUUCAGAUAUACAACCUGUGAAAUGAAUUGCUUUCUGCUUGCUAAACUAAAAAUUUUAAAGUAGUUCUUUUAUCCAGAAGGUUUUUCUUGCGUUCAGUCAUGAUAGUAACCCUGCUCUGAACUUGUUAUACUUCAUAAUUCUUGUUCAUGAAAGAUGAACUGAGAAUAUUUCAAGUGAGAUCACACUACCUCCUUGUGCAAUGCCAUUAAUAGUUACAUAUCAGAGGGACUGUUUCCUCUUACCCAGCUUAAUAUUGCAUUUGCCUUUUUCAGAGCCACUUCACUGGGGUUCUCAUCCUUUGAUUAAAAAGUACUUUCACGUUACAUGUGAUUUCCAGCUGGCGAGCCUGUCAUUGGAAUUCUUACUUCUCCCUGGUCUUUUUUCCUAUUAUUACACCUUAUCCCUUCUCUAGCACUCCAGUCCCUAAGGUCAUCCAGUUAUUUUUGUGGUGUCCCAGUCUAUGAACAAUGCCACUUAUUGCCAGCAUAACAAAGUCAAUAAUGAAGCUUUUGAUGAGUGUGUCCUUUCAGAUGGCGCUUAAAGAUCCAUUAGCAGCUUUUCUCUAACCCAGUGCUUUUCCAUUCAUCUAUAGUCCUGACAGUUUAGUUUUAGGUAGUUCUUUACUGAUACUACAGUUUAUGAAUUAAUCCCUGUCUUUUCCAGUCUAGUGACUAAGCUCCCAUGUGGAACACUAUAUACAGACCGUUUCUGCCAUUUAUCCUUUGAGAACAUAUUUUUUUCUAUAUCCUUUCUACUGUGACAAUUACUUUAUAGUGGUAACAUAUCCACAAAGUGAAUGUGUUCCUGUCUGUCAGGAUCAGAGAGCUAUUAUGCUUCGCAGAAGCUUGUUCAGCCACAUCUUACUUUAAGGAUGCUCCCUUUUUAUUUGGCAGUGGUCAUUGUGCUGUCUGAUAAAUCUGGAGGAUUCUUCUGCAAAAUCAUUAGCUUCAAAAUGUAAGGUCAUAGCUUCCUUUUUCUCAGUUUUCCUCUAGCAACAGUUUGUCUGGUCUUACAGAUAGCACUGUCAAAAACUGACAAUUUUAAUGUCCCUGCAGUGUGGUUCCUAUCAAUUUAGAAGUUAUGCAACAAAUGAUUUUUCAGGAGGUUCUACAGAAGUUUUCUUUUUCUUUUUUUCUUCAGGACUGUCCAUGCAGAUACAGCCUGAGUUUCCUCAAUAUAAUUAUUUUCUGUCUUCCAAGACAUGCCAAACUAAUUAGCAGUUUAUUAUUUUUUAAUCUUGGCUCUUGACAUACUUCUUAGUGGACCCUGACUAACAUCUGAUCACAUGAAGAAAACAGCAGAUGAUGGUGGUAACUUCUCUCUUCUUACAUAAGCUGUAUAGUCAGUUGGCUGGAUAAGAAGUCUUUAACUCCAAAGUGGUAUAGUUUAGGGCUAAUCUAGGUUUCUUUCUUGUAUUUGCAAAAUCAGAGUUUAAGAACUUGCAUUUCCUAUGCAAUAUGCCAAGGCUGCAGAAAUAAAAAAUGGGAGUGCUAAGAGAUGUCCAUUUUUAACCCAUGAUGAAAGAUAUGGGAAAUACCGAUCUUCCUCACACUAGCCCUCUAUCAGUUUAUAAUGCUAGUUGAGCUAUUAUCUUUGUAGGUAACAUCUACAAAAGCAGACUUGCUUUGAUUUAGGUGCAAGUGAAGGACAUCACUUGCUCUGCUCUGCUCUGAAAUGCUUGCUCUGAAAUGUACAUGUGCUUAUGAAAGUCUCUCAGCCCUCAUCUACAGAAAAAGUCAUCUGCUCAGUCCUGAAGAAAGAGUCUGAUGUUCACCUCUACAGCACAUUCCCUUUAAUGAAAAAAUAAAUGGGGGGAAGGGAGGAGGGCUGGUGCAUUUUUAAUGCAGUUAAAACAGAUCCGUGAGCACAUGGCUAAGAUUGCUGCCCCCAGAGACACAACUUGAGGGACCAAGAUUACCAUGCAGAUAAGAAAGCAAAUAAUUGAGUUACGUUCAAGAGCUACGGCAUCAGUACCUACCUGGGCACCAAGGGUUGAAAAGCAACACAAACUGCCCCAGGAAUCUGGAGAAGAUCUUGUUCCCUGAGGUUACUUGGAGGAUGAGAUUGUAUCGUCCGAUGAUGGCAUUGGCUGGGCUAGAUAUUGUAAAAGUAGUGUAGCCAGACUCACUGGAUCCUUGGACAGCACUCCAGCCACUUGCACCCACCUCAGAGAGGUUAAACACAGCCUUUGUAUGGUGAGAUUCUGAGGGGGAUGGCCCUGCCAGAAAGAAGGGAUGAUUGAUUUGCGUUAUAGAGUGUGGUUUCAGUAUUAAUCUCACACUCGAAAUGAGCACACUUUGGGGGCGGGGAGGGGGCGGAGCAGGGGGAGUAUUAGAAAUACAUGAAGAAAAAUCAAAUUUCUAAACAGAAUAAGGGGAAGCUAAAAGGGAUAAACACUUACAGCUCUAUGAGAGCAUGGAGAAAGCUAAGGGAGUGUUACCUAUUUCAGUGACGAAGGCUAGGCUCUCCCCAGGCUGCUUUGGUCUGUUGAAGUACAAAGUAAUAGUGAAGGCUUGUCCUCGCCUCACAGUCAACUCAGUGUUAGCAUAUCUGUCAGUAUGGUGUGCACCUGCAUUUACUGAUGGCUGCCAGCUGAUAUGUGUUGGUGUCAGAUCUGUAAAAUAAGAGAAGACAUUAAAAAGUAGCCAGUGUGGAAAGAAGCCACUUAUUCCAGGUGGAACAAUGAGAUUGCUAGCAGCAGUUAUCUUUUACUGGAAAAAGGAUGGAUAAAGAGUAGAUGGUCAAAUAAAUUAAGUCUAGUGGUCAAUAACAAAACAAACAAACAACAAACACAACUGUGCUUGGGUUUUGUUACUGCCCUGUUAUACACCAAGAACUCAUUUACUUCAUAUACAGUAUAAGAUACUGUUUUAUCAGUGGACUGUGAUUAAAAAAAAAAAAGGCACAUCAGAGUCAUUUCAAAGUUGGCACCAAAUAAGGUGGCUAGCAGCCCCUCUACAUUUUCAACAUAUGCAUUUUUAUAAUUCUAGAAAUGGCUACUAGGAGGUGUUUUCCUGCUUACAUUCUGGUGCCAUCUGGCCUACAUUAGGGAAGGAUACAUAGUGAGAGAUAGUCUGUCUUUUACAUGCCUUGGAGCUUUUGACAAAGAAAGCCAUCUGACUAAAUAUAGCUCCACCCGAAGUUACAGCUGGUCUGCUGGUGUUUCUGUUCUCAUAGACCCUGCCCUUAUGGCUUAGAGGAAUUCUGAUGACUUGGUGUGCUUGCAGUUCUCUGAUAUCGAAUGUCUCCCUACAUACUGUUAUCAUGGUCUACAGUCUAAAACCCACAAAGUGGCAUUUGUCACCUUAAAUGUUGUAUUAGCAUUUAAGCACGUAUGAUUCUGCAUAUAGCCUAUAUGUUAUGCCAAAAUAAAAGCAAGUAUUUAUAUGAUUCUCCUACCAAGAGUGUUUUCCCUUCUCUUGCUCAUGCUCUAUUGCCAUGCUCCAACUGGUGCAGUUAUACUGCCUUUAGAAGCUCUGAGAGGCCCUGUGUUUGUCCUAUGAGACUCCACAGAGUACAUCUGGGGCAUUGUAUUGCAAAUACCUUGGGGAAGGUUCUACAAAAUAAUUUUUUAGUGCUAAUAUCACAGAUGCAAUGAGCUUUUUUUGGGGGGUGGAGCAGGGGGUGACACCACCAUUACCAUUUUAAAGGAAACUCAAAUGAAAACAACAACAAAAAAAUGAGUAGAACAGAUGGAUUGAGACAGAUUAAGGUUUGUGGCACAAUGCAGUGUUAUGGCAGAGAUCUUCAAAGAAGCUUCCAACUCUGUCAUAUACCAUAAAGCACAGCAAUGAAAUACUAAGUCAGAUCUGAAGCAAUAAAACUGCAUAUUAAAAUACAGUUUAUGUACAACCUUUAAAUUAAAUUUCAGUCUUUUUCCUUCACUAAUCUCCCAAAAAAGUGAAGUGCUAUAAUUCAAGAAAUAAGGAUUUUUUUUCUUUUAGUCCAAGAUCAUAUAGAAGUAAAGUGAGUAAGUUCUGAUGGGCUGAAAGAGACGAUCUUUAGCACUAAUAUCUUGGACAAACAGGAACUGCAUUAGGCUGUUGUUUACCCCACAAAACAACAUUUUAAAAACUGAUUUGAAAAAGUUUCUUUCAUCACUGAAUAGAAGAUAGAGCUGCUUUCCAAUUGCUCAGGUCACCAGUCAUUCUUAAUUUUGAGCUCUGUUAAUACUAAGCAGAGAUAUUCUUCACUACCAUUUUCCGUGAGUAUGGUUUCAGUGCUUCUUUGAAUCCCAUCUAUAGGCUCCAUGCUCACGGCUCCAUUAAGAUAGAUUGUUUUGUUUUAACAAAAUUAGUGUAAAGUACGAUGUGUGUGAAAUAGCAUUUUAAAAAUAAAGAGUUUAGCUAGAUUUAUGUGUGGUGACAUUGAAGAAAUGGGAUUUUUUUCUUCUUCCUUUCCCUCUCCUCCCCCCCCCCAACAUCUUGUGCUAAUCUUGAAAAUUACUUUCAAACAUAUCUGAUAAAAACAACAAAAUACUGGAGAUGAAAUGCAAGAAUAAAUUACCAUAUAAAAUUUCCUCUAGAUAAGACAUCUCUAUGCAGAUACCUAUGGGGCAUAUAUCUUAAAGAAACAGUCCCGAACAAAGAACUUGCUGAAGGGAAGCAAAUGACAUACAGAACUCACCUGCCAUUCCCUCAGCUUAUGUGAAUUGCAUACACCUUCUACUUUGUUCUUCAAGGAUGUCCAAUUCACGUUAAUCAUAAAAAGAAAAAAGCCAGCAAGCUUUUUGUGCUGUCAGCUGAAAUUCAACAGAAGGAAUAGGUACUUAGCACUUGUUAUUAAUACGUGUAGACUUGUCAAAUGAAUUGACUAGUUACUAUAAUAUAUGUAAAUCUAAUGCCAAUGGUACUGCUCAACGUGGGUGUAAUUAUGGGAGGAGAUACCAAAAUUAUUUACUCAGAGGAAAUGCAUUCUCUUGGAUUCCAAGACAAGUAGAACUUCCUACAAAGAAUAAUAGGUGUGCCAUGAAUAAGUUAUCUUCAGGGAUGAGGAAACAGGGAGCGUGGUGGGACAUAUGAACCACAUGAAGGAAAAGAGGCAUUUCCUGAUUACCUAACUUCCAGUUUGGUUCAUGUCACUUCUGGUUUUGUUUAACAACUGUGAGUUUUUGUUUUUUUUUUUGUCUCAAAUUAACUCAACCCCUACACUCUUGGAACAAAUAUCUGUCUACCUGAUUUGUUAGCCAGCUCCAUAUUAUCUAUUUAAAAAAAAUAAAAAUAAAUCUUAAGAACAAAACAAAAGCAAAACUAUGGAGCACAAGUAGCUUCUGUCAGUGCAAACUUUAAGGUCUACUUAAAAAGUGUACAGGUAAUAAAGUGACAUUUUUGUGGGGAUGAAUAAUUAUCUGGUUAAGAUUCCACAGUUCCACUGGUUGUUUUAGUACUCAGUAAAGACUUCAACAACAACGAAGUAGUCUGAAUUUUACAAUUACAAAGGAAAUAAUAGAAUACAGGUAGAACUUGAGCUCUAACAAUUGUUCUAAGGCAGAUUUAAAAAAAAAAAAAAAAAAAAAA